rnacentral:rRNA from 1 species
GGUUAUGGGCAAUGGAGGACUCUGACCCAGCGACGCCGCGUGCGGGAUGAAGGCCUUCGGGUCGUAAACCGCUUUCAGCAGGGAAGAAGCGAAAGUGACGGUACCUGCAGAAGAAGCACCGGCUAACUAUGUGCCAGCAGCCGCGGUAAUACGA